rnacentral:rRNA from 1 species
GUGAGGAAUAUUGGUCAAUGGGCAGGAGCCUGAACCAGCCAAGUCGCGUGAAGGAAGAAGGAUCUAUGGUUCGUAAACUUCUUUUGCAGGGGAAUAAAGUGCAGGACGUGUCCUGUUUUGUAUGUACCCUGAGAAUAAGGAUCGGCUAACUCCGUGCCAGCAGCCGCGGUAAUACGGAGGAUCCGAGCGUUAUCCGGAUUUAUUGGGUUUAAAGGGUGCGUAGGUGGUUUGAUAAGUCAGCGGUGAAAGUUUGCAGCUUAACUGUAAAAAUGCCGUUGAAACUGUCGGACUUGAGUGUAAAUGAGGUAGGCGGAAUGCGUGGUGUAGCGGUGAAAUGCAUAGAUAUCACGCAGAACUCCGAUUGCGAAGGCAGCUUACUAAGCUACAACUGACACUGAAGCACGAAAGCGUGGGGAUCAAACAGGAUUAGAUACCCCGGUAGUCC